rnacentral:lncRNA from 1 species
CCCUCCCUUUCUCUUCUUCUCCCAGCUCUCCCACCCCAUCCCCCCUCCCCCUUCGACGAAUCCAGCCACCCGCACCUCCUCUCUGAAGCGCAGCUCCGCCAUCUACUACUCCUUCGAGCUCGUCCAACUCGGAGGCCGGGGAAGAUGGCGUAUCCCGCUCUUCGAAGAAGAGCUUCUUCAAUGGCGGCUGCAGAGAGGAACCAACAAAACAUCAGCUCCGCCGUCUACGACCUUACCUGGCGCCUCCUCCGCCGCAACCUCACCUCUGAGAUCCUCCACCCUUCCCGCAUCAAAUCCUAUGGUGAGGCUGUUAAAUGGGUUUCUGACAUUCUCAUCAACCUUCUCAGAUCCAAGUUUCAAGCUCAGUCCAAUGGCAUCGGAGUUGAGCUUUGAGGACAAAUUAAACGAAGAGCAAAUCAAAGAAAUUGACGACUUUCAGUGCCGCUUGCUAUUGAACUUUUGGCGAUUCAACAUCCUCAAAUUUUGGCCCAGAUAGACAAAAUUUCUGUUGAAAAAUCGUUGGAACCAUAAGGAAGAAGAAGGCCUGCUCAUCCCUCUUAUUCCAGCACGAUAGAAAGCAAAGAGUGAAAGGGUGAGCAGCAUGGAUGACGGCCAAGAUGAUGACUUUGUUUUGGCGUAUGCUGAUACAUUGUGGGAGCUCCACCUUCCUCACAGGAAGGAAAAUAGGGAUAUGGAUGAAGAGAGGG